AGCUCAGUGCUCUUUAUGUGUUAUUUCAGAAUUCUCAGAGAGACCCAUGGGUUGACUCGGUUGCCCUUAUUUUACAGAGGCAGAAGGUGAGACUCAAAGGUGACACCCGUGGCAAUCCUGGGGAUCAAGCCUGAUUCUGUCCUACCGUGCUGGCCUCUUCCUAGAAGGAAGUCUUGUGUGAAUGAGUAUGGAAGGUGACCCAAGGUGUGUUGAGCCUGAGAUGGGUUGUUCUGCAGACUUAUAUAAAUCACAUGGUAAGUAGUCUACUUCACCAUGCACAUACAACACCUUUGACAAUGGAGCAUUGAUCAAGACCAGUACACCUCGGUGACAAAGAUGACAGAUUCUUAUGCAGCAUGAGCAGAAUAAGGACAACAUUUUGUCUUAAAAGGUAGCAAAGACAUCACACAGUCACCGGUGAGGCUAUCAGGUUCCAUAAUUCCUUAAUGUGUGUAUAUUUUUCCUCUUAAUGUUACUUGUGUGGCUGGCGUGCUGAGAAAUACACCUUUUAAAUCUAUGUAUUCAAGUAUUUAUUCAGUCUCCUCUUUGCAGCAAGUAUAGCAAUAAGG
ensembl:lncRNA